AGCGAACGCUGGCGGCAGGCCUAACACAUGCAAGUCGAACGAACCUUUCGGGGUUAGUGGCGGACGGGUGAGUAACACGUGGGAACGUGCCCUUAGGUUCGGAAUAACUCAGGGAAACUUGUGCUAAUACCGAAUGUGCCCUUCGGGGGGAAGAUUAAUCGCCUUUAGAGCGGCCCGCGUCUGAUUAGCUAGUUGGGUGAGGUAAUGGCUCACCAAGGCGACGAUCAGUAGCUGGUCUGAGAGGAUGAUCAGCCACAUUGGGACUGAGACACGGCCCAAACUCCUACGGGAGGCAGCAGUGGGGAAUCUUGCGCAAUGGGCGAAAGCCUGACGCAGCCAUGCCGCGUGAAUGAUGAAGGUCUUAGGAUUGUAAAAUUCUUUCACCGGGGACGAUAAUGACGGUACCCGGAGAAGAAGCCCCGGCUAACUUCGUG
rnacentral:rRNA from 1 species